GACGAACGCUGGCGGCGUGCUUAACACAUGCAAGUCGAACGGAAAGGCCCUGCUUUUGUGGGGUGCUCGAGUGGCGAACGGGUGAGUAACACGUGAGUAACCUGCCCUUGACUUUGGGAUAAAUUCAGGAAACUGGGGCUAAUACCGGAUAGGAGCUCCUGCUGCAUGGUGGGGGUUGGAAAGUUUCGGCGGUUGGGGAUGGACUCGCGGCUUAUCAGCUUGUUGGUGGGGUAGUGGCUUACCAAGGCUUUGACGGGUAGCCGGCCUGAGAGGGUGACCGGCCACAUUGGGACUGAGAUACGGCCCAGACUCCUACGGGAGGCAGCAGUGGAGAAUAUUGCACAAUGGGCGGAAGCCUGAUGCAGCAACGCCGCGUGCGGGAUGACGGCCUUCGGGUUGAAAACCGCUUUCGCCUGUGACGAAGCGUGAGUGACGGUAAUGGGUAAAGAAGCACCGGCUAACUACGUG
rnacentral:rRNA from 1 species